UCUUUGCUCUUCUUUUCCCGCGGGGAGGCCUUAAUGCAGCCGACGCCGGUCGCAAGCCCGGGAGCAAGAUGCAGAGCGAGGC
rnacentral:ribozyme from 1 species